rnacentral:rRNA from 1 species
GUGAGGAAUUUUCCGCAAUGGGCGAAAGCCUGACGGAGCAAUGCCGCGUGAAGGAUGAAGGCCUAUGGGUUGUAAACUUCUUUUCUCAGAAAAGAAUUAUGACGGUAUCUGAGGAAUAAGCAUCGGCUAACUCUGUGCCAGCAGCCGCGGUAAGACAGAGGAUGCAAGCGUUAUCCGGAAUGAUUGGGCGUAAAGCGUCUGUAGGUUGUUUAAAAAGUAUUCUGUCAAAGAUUAGGGCUUAACCCUAGAUAGGCAGAAUAAACUUUUAAGCUAGAGUUUGGUAGAGGCAGAGGGAAUUCCCGGUGGAGCGGUGAAAUGCGUAGAUAUCGGGAGGAACACCAAAGGCGAAGGCACUCUGCUGGGCCAAUACUAACACUGAGAGACGAAAGCGAGGGGAGCAAAUGGGAUUAGAAACCCGUGAGUCC